rnacentral:miRNA from 1 species
AGGACUACGGACGGGCUGAG